rnacentral:rRNA from 1 species
CACGGGGGGAGCAAGCGUUGUUCGGAUUCAUUGGGCGUAAAGGGUGCGUAGGCGGCGCGGUAAGUCGGGUGUGAAAUCUUGGAGCUUAACUCCGAAACUGCAUUCGAUACUGCCGUGCUUGAGGACUGGAGAGGAGACUGGAAUUUCCUGUGUAGCGGUGAAAUGCGUAGAUAUAGGAAGGAAUACCAGUGGCGAAGGCGGCCUCCUGGAUCGAUACUGACGCUGAGGCGCGAAAGCGUGGGGAGCAAACAGG